GGCUUGAUAGCUCAGUUGGUAGAGCACUCCACUGGCAUUGCAGAGGUCAUGGGUUUGAAUCCCGUUCAGGCCU